UCAGUGGAUCUGCGUUUGACUACUCCACCUAGGCUGCACUGUCGAGCGCAGAUUCACUGAGC
rnacentral:pre_miRNA from 1 species